rnacentral:rRNA from 1 species
UACAGAGGGUGCAAGCGUUGUCCGGAAUUACUGGGCGUAAAGGGCGCGUAGGCGGCCCGAUAAGUAGGAGGUGAAAUCUCACGGCUCAACCGUGAAACUGCCUUCUAGACUGUCAGGCUUGAGCACGGUAGAGGCAGAUGGAAUUCCCGGUGUAGCGGUGGAAUGCGUAGAGAUCGGGAAGAACACCAGUGGCGAAGGCGGUCUGCUGGGCCGUUGCUGACGCUGAGGCGCGACAGCGUGGGGAGCAAACAGG